rnacentral:rRNA from 1 species
UAGGGAAUAUUGCAAAAUGGGCGCAAGCCCGAUGCAGCAACGCCGCGUGGGCGAUGAAGGCCUUCGGGUCGUAAAGCCCUUUUUGAGGGGAUGAGGAAGGACAGUACCCUCAGAAUAAGCCUCGGCUAACUACGUGCCAGCAGCCGCGGUAAAACGUAGGAGGCGAGCGUUAUCCGGAUUUACUGGGCGUAAAGCGCGUGCAGGCGGAUUGGAGAGUUGGAUGUAAAAGCUCCCGGCUUAACUGGGAGAGGUCGUUCAAUACUUCCAGUCUUGAGUGCAGUAGAGGGAAGUGGAAUUCCGGGUGUAGUGGUGAAAUGCGUAGAUAUCCGGAGGAACACCAGUGGCGAAAGCGGCUUCCUGGACUGUAACUGACGCUCAGACGCGAAAGCUAGGGUAGCAA